AACUAAGUUUGUUAUUGGUAUGUGCUUCCAUGUGCAUGCACACUUCUUCCCACUAUAUAUAAGGGUCUGGUGACUUCUGUUUCAGUGUAUCUGAAGAAGUGUGCAUGCACACGAAAGCUCAUACCAAAAACAAACUUAGUUGG